AGAAGUUUAGGAUAUUAUCAGUCCAAGAGCCUUCAAAGCCCUAAGAAAACAUAUAUGUUUAACUUCUG
rnacentral:tRNA from 1 species